UCAACCUAGAGAUGUGAGCCUGCUGGUUGGCAUUUGUGUACCACAACAGACCUGCACUGGAGAGAUAAUGAGACAGAUGGGGCUCCUGGAAUCUGGCAGAACACAUCACAGAUGUGGCUGCCUUCUCUGCCCACACUGCUGGCCCAGCUACACCCAGGUGGCUGACGUUGUCCCUUCCUGCCCAGCACCAGCAGCCUUUGCUGCAGCCUGGCGGCCCUCUCUGGAAGGUCCCUCGGUUCAGCUUUCAAGUCCCCUGAAGGUGACACACCUAUUAGCACACCCUGAAGAAGACAGCUCCUCCCAUCAGACACGGGAAAUGCAGACACCCUGGUACAAGAAACUUGAACGGGAUGAAAAAGCAAGAAAGCAUGAUAUGCAAAAGUGGAGACUGGUCCAGGAAGCUCAUUAAAACCGGUUGGGGUCUUGUGCCCUCCAUCCCCAUGAAGGAAAUGUGGAUGUGGAGGUUGGGAAGAUGAAAGGCUGGUGAGAACAGCAACCCAUGAGUUAGGAGGAGACCCAAGAGAGAAUGCUGUCCUGGAGCCAAGCAAGAAACCCGUUGCUACACCGAUCGUGACAGACCUCAAGGCUUAGAGGCAUCAAAGUGGAGACCAUGGAGAGAGAUCCACAUUUGGAGUGGGGAGUUUCAUUCUGUGCUGACUCAAAGCCAAUGGGAUGCUACAGGAUGGAAUAUUCCCACACCCCAGUCAUUUAGACUUUAACUCCUGAAGUAGAAGAAG